rnacentral:lncRNA from 1 species
UUUUCCUCAACUAAAACGUCCAAUCCUGACAAUUAGCUAUGACUACCAAUUGAAAUUGAAGUUAACAUAUUGGAGAUGAAACAUGGACGGAGCUACGGAGACCGGCGACAGAAGAGGUAGAGGCGGCGGCGUUGUUUCUGAUGAAUUGGAGCUCGACGAGAACAACUUUGUGGUACGGAAUUCAUCGGAGUUUUUCGACUUUUAAUUCCGAUCUAUAUAUUUCAAGCAUAAUAAUUUCUCAAGCUUCAUCAGACUUCUUAAUACCUGUUAGUCCACCUUAUUAAUAAUAUAAUAUUGACUUAAUGUGUUGUGUUAUGGAGUUUUGGUUGGACGUUGGUUUUGGUUAGUUGUAACGAGAACAAGGGGAAGUGGAAGGUGGAAGGGGGAAGUUGGGAUGCAAUGGGAGGG